GCUCCAAUUGUGUAAAUAUACAUUUCUAUAAAUAUAAAUUCCUUUGUUCUGAAUGACUGAAGGAUCAAACCACAACUUAAACCAUUGAUCGUAGAUAUCUCUAAUUUAGAGGGUGAUAAGUAAGACCUGUGAUGUGGAUCUGGGACCGGUCUUUUCGAAAAAAAAAUCGAUUUAUGGUUCAAUUUACAUGAAAUUUGGUGCAAACAUAGGUUGCUCUUGUCUAAAUUGAUGUCUCGAACACCUUUUCUUCCGGGUAGUUGGCUUGGAAUCGAUUCGAUGAUCCGGCCGGUUUUGCUUAAUAUAUGUAUAUAGAACAUAUGUAGGUGUGUCUUUCCGGAAGCCGUUCUCUCCGAAAGAAUUAUAUUUAUCUAUUACACACAUCUAUAUUGCUCAGAGGGCUGACUCCGUUCCGCCAGGUUUCAGCAGCUUAUAAUGAGCAAUUUUCUACCAAAUCAUCCACCAUAUGCACAGCAACAGUGUUUGCCGUCAACGACGGUCAAUCAAUUCAUCUAGCACUCCAACUUCGAGCUUCUUUAAGUGGUCUAUAUUUUUUUAAGUAAUUCGAAACUUUUACGUGAGUGAUUCCUAAAGCCUCUACUAUCGCCCGACAGAUCGCAUGUCGGACUUGCUUCACUAGCUGUGGAAUUUCAACUGCUUUUUGAGUGACUGGACGGCCAGAACGUGGCGAAUUUCUGAAAUCAAAAUGUCCGCGCUUUCACUUUUUCCAUAGUAAAACGGCAUCACAAAAUUUACUUCUUCGGAAAUUUCAAUCAUUUUCAAAUCAAAAUAACUUUUCACAUUAAAGACAAUUGAAUUGAUUGCUUGAAAUGUCAGCUUUCCAACAAUGCUUAGUUCCAUACAAUGGGAUUAGUGUAUCAACUAAGGUAUCAAAGAACCGCGGAGACUUUUGCACUUAACCAAAAUUUUCAAGUUAUGAGCAAACCAGCUUCAUAGAAUGACCUUUCAGCCUGCCUCGGGUUAGAGCUGUGCUAGGAAAAUUGUGGAAGCAAAAGGCAUAUUUAAUGCCAGAGGACUGAGAGCAAACUGGAGCAAAGUAUAUUCACUCGCAUGGCUGGGAAACUGCCUUCGAUCCAGUACGUCUUCCAAAUACAAAUACAAAGUUCUUCUAAGCUCGCGGCUCUUGCCUGCUUGCAACGCCAGAAAUAAACUCAUUGUUGUCAGUUGAAAAAAUCUACGCAGGUCUUCUUUUUAUUCUUCCAAAUAUUAUUUAAUAAAAUAGUUUAGAAUAGUGCAUAGUUUUAGGCGUUUUUGUUUUUUUUUACAAAUGCACAACGGAGCCACAAAGAAAUAAGCUUCCAAUUUUUUUAACAUUUCCUUUUUUCUUAAAUUUAUUUAUCAAAAAAAAAAAAGUAAUAACAAUAAAAAUUAAUAUACAAUUUUUUAGAAACUCUUAAAGCCAACAACUACCAUAUGUUAACCGCUAAUUGUUUGUUUGUAUACAUAAGAUGUCUGUUUGUGAGCGAGAGUAUA